rnacentral:rRNA from 1 species
AUUGAACGCUGGCGGAAUGCUUUACACAUGCAAGUCGAGCGGCAGCGCGGGGCAACCUGGCGGCGAGCGGCGAACGGGUGAGUAAUACAUCGGAACGUGCCCAGACGUGGGGGAUAACUACUCGAAAGAGUGGCUAAUACCGCAUACGAUCUAAGGAUGAAAGCGGGGGAUCGCAAGACCUCGCGCGUUUGGAGCGGCCGAUGGCAGAUUAGGUAGUUGGUGGGGUAAAGGCUUACCAAGCCCGCGAUCUGUAGCUGGUCUGAGAGGAUGAUCAGCCACACUGGGACUGAGACACGGCCCAGACUCCUACGGGAGGCAGCAGUGGGGAAUUUUGGACAAUGGGCGUAAGCCUGAUCCAGCAAUGCCGCGUGAGUGAUGAAGGCCUUAGGGUUGUAAAGCUCUUUCGCCUGCGACGAUGAUGACGGUAGCAGGAGAAGAAGCCCCGGCUAAUUUCGUGCCAGCAGCCGCGGUAAU